rnacentral:rRNA from 1 species
CAACGAGUCGCAAGCUCGCGAGAGUAAGCUAAUCUCUUAAAGCCGUUCUCAGUUCGGACUGUAGGCUGCAACUCGCCUACACGAAGUCGGAAUCGCUAGUAAUCGCGGAUCAGCAUGCCGCGGUGAAUACGUUCCCGGGCCUUGUACACACCGCCCGUCACACCAUGGGAGUUUGUAACGCCCAAAGUCGGUGGCCUAACCUUUAUGGAGGGAGCCGCCUAAGGCGGGACAGAUGACUGGGGUGAAGUCGUAACAAGGUAAC